CCUACGGGGGGCAGCAGGCGCGAAACCUCCACAAUGCGGGAAACCGCGAUGGGGUUACCCCGAGUGUCGCCCGCUGAGGGCGACUUUUCUGGGGUCUAAAAAGCCCCAGGAAUAAGGGGAGGGCAAGUCUGGUGUCAGCCGCCGCGGUAAUACCAGCUCCCCGAGUGGUCGGGACGUUUAUUGGGCCUAAAGCGCCCGUAGCCGGCCCGGUGUGUCCUCCGUUAAAUCCGCCGGCUCAACCGGCGGACCGCGGGGGAUACUACCGGGCUAGGGGGCGGGAGAGGUCGGGGGUACUCCCGGGGUAGGGGUAAAAUCCUCUGAUCCCGGGAAGACCACCGGUGGCGAAGGCGUCCGGCCAGAACGCGCCCGACGGUGAGGGGCGAAAGCUGGGGGAGCGAACCGGAUUAGAUACCCGGGUAGUCCCAGCUGUAAACGAUGCGGGCUAGGUGCUGGAGGGGCUACGGGCCCCUCCAGUGCCGCAGGGAAGCCGUUAAGCCCGCCGCCUGGGGAGUACGGCCGCAAGGCUGAAACUUAAAGGAAUUGGCGGGGGGGCACACAAGGGGUGAAGCUGCGGCUCAAUUGGAGUCAACGCCCGGAACCUUACCAGGGGUCACAGCAGAAUGAAGGUCAGGUCAAAGACCUUACCUGACGCGCUGAGAGGAGGUGCAUGGCCCCCGCCGGCUCGUGCCGUGAGGUGUCCUGUUAAGUCAGGAAACGCGCGAGAUCCCCACCACCAGUUGCCAUUCCGUCCCCUCUAGGGAUGGGAGGCGAACUGGUGGCACUGCCGCCGACAAGGCCGCGGAAGGAGGGGGCCACGGCAGCUCAGUAUGCCCCGAAACCCCUGGGCUACACGCGGGCUGCAAUGGUGGGCACAAUGGGAGCCGAACCCGAAAGGGGAAGGUAAUCCUCAAACCCCACCCCAGUUAUGAUUGAGGGUCGCAACUCACCCUCAUGAAUCUGGAAUCCCUAGUAACCGCGCGUCACCAUCGCGCGGCGAAUACGUCCCUGCCUCUUGCACACACCGCCCGUCA
rnacentral:rRNA from 1 species